UUAAGAAUUGCUUAAUAUUUGUUAAAAUUUAAUUAUGGUUUUAAAAAUGAUAAAAUAACAUUAUUUAAUAUUAAUUUGUAAAGUAGGCAAUAAAAAAUUACCUCGGUAAUAAAUUGUUUGUAUAAUGUUUGUUCCAGAAUAAUCGGCUAGACUUACGCAAUUUUAACUUUAUUUAAUUUAAAUUAUAAAAUUUUUAAAUAAAAUUAAAAAUUUAUAGGUAAAAUUUUAAAUUUUUAAAAUUAAAGUUUAUAAUUUUAAAGUUUAAUUAAUAAAUUAGAUUAGUACCUAAGUAAUUAAAUUUUAGUAAAACAGGAGUAAAGUAAAAUAUAAACUGUAAAAAUUUUGGCAGAUUGUUUAAAUUAUCUUUGGAGGUUGAGUAAUAAAUGAGAACCCUCAUUAACUACUAUUUUUUUAGGCUUAUGUAUGAUCGUUUAUUGUGUAUUUAUGAUAUACAAUAAAAUUUUAAAAUUUUAAUUUAUUGUAAUUUUAAUAUAAAAAUAGAUAUAUAUUUAGUUUAUAUAAAAGUUUAAUUUGACCUACAAUAUAAAAAAAUGUGAAUAAUAAAUGUGAAUUUAUUUGAAAAUGUAAAAGACAGUAAAAAAAAUUUAAUGUUUUUUUGAAGAGUAUUUAAAAGUGGUUCAAAUCAUCCAUCAAUUGCCUAAAGGGGAGUAAGUUGUAGUAAAGUAAAUUUAGGGGAACCUGAAUUUAAUAGU
rnacentral:ncRNA from 1 species